UCUCCUGUUUUAUUUUCCAUUUUGUGAAUUCUUUAUUCAUUCUUUGUAACUCUUUGUUGAAAAUUUUCUAGCUGGGAAUUUAUGUUAAGGACUUGUUCAUUUAUCUUACCUAUUUUUUCUUCCAUCUUGUGUUGAUUACUUUUUAUCUCACUUUUUAUAUCAUCGUGAUUCUUUCUUAUAUCUUCUUUUUGUGAGACAAUUACUUCCUGAAUCAUCUGUAAUGUUAUCUGCAUUUCUUUUUGAAAGUUGUUAGAUUUUUCUUGCUGGAGCAUUAAAUCACCAGCACAUUUUGGUGUAUAGGACUAGGAGCCUCAGAGGAAGGUGAGGAGGUUUUUACCAAUUUUAGUGAGAUAUGAGGUACUCAUUUUUAUUUUCCCCCAGCAAAUGUUCAAGUUCUUCAGCUAAUAACUAGUAAAUGUUAACAUUUUCUAAUAUAGCCAAAAUUAUUCAACUUAUCAAAAAGCAAUUUAAAUUACAUCUUAAAUCUUACAACUUUUAACUAUACAGUUUAUUCUCGUUCCUUUGUCUAUAGGCUUUAUAAUCUCACAGGUUCCAAUAAUCCAGUAUUUGAAUCCACCAGAGCAAACUAAGGUUUUUAAAUCCAGCUUUCUCAAUCAGAGUUGCAGUUCAACCAGCGUUUGUAAUCCAAAUUCUGAGACCUGUAUAACCAGCUUGUCUUGCCCAAUCAAUAAAUCCAAGUCAAUUGGUGUUUGUAAUCCACAAUAGCCUGUUGGCUUUUACUAGUCCAAACAAUAAAUCCCACAAAAUAAUAAAGAGUGAAAUGCCUUGUUUUCUCUAUUUGCCAGCUGUGCCUUAUUCAGUUGAUAAAUUCUCGGCUUCAAAGUCACCACCAGUUAUUUAUGUCUGGGCUUAAAGCCACAUCUUCUGCUUACAUUUCAACAAUAUUGUCCUCUUUGCCAUAAGGUGUCACUCUCCCUCAAUUAAUUCUUCAGGAAUCCGUAACACAAAUAAAGUUUAAUGUUCUUUGAUUAGUUAUUUUGAACCAUCUUUGCUCUCAAAAGCUUUAAAAAAUGUCCUCAAUGUUUGCCAUACAGAGGUUUUUUUUCUUAUAUGUUCAUUCUGGUUUUCUAUUUUAGUUUCCCAUUUGGGCCCCUCAUUUGUUUGGCUGCCAUUUUUCCCCUCUCGUGAGGGGGUGUAUAUUUCCCCCUUCCUCCAGUCGCUUCUUGGGGCUUUUCUUUUAGGAUUUAUCUGUUCCAGGAAGUAUUUUUCAAAGGGAUAGAGAAAAAGUAGUCUUACCCAGCUUCAAAGCAUGAUUUUGAUAAUAAUUCAGA